GUAGGCAUAGUUUAACAAAAACAUUAGAUUGUGAGUCUAACAAUAAAAGCUAAAACCUUUUUGCUUACC
rnacentral:tRNA from 4 species